rnacentral:lncRNA from 1 species
GGAGAUAUUUCUCAAAAGACUCCUCUGCGGGAGAGGAGAAUAGCUGUACUCUAAGCAGUUCGCAGGGAGCAUCUUUCAGCAGCUGAAACAGCUUUGCGGCCUUGCUGUAAUGAAGAUCUGCCAGCACCCGGUGUUGUUUCCUAAGGUGUUCAUCACCAACCUAGAACCAAACCAAAACAAGCAACAAAUCCUUCACGAGAAAGAAAGAAAACAACUGUGUAAGCAGACAUCAGUGUAAACCUUAGCACUGUCUCUUGAUGAGAUAAGAGGAGGAUGGCAGUGACAGGAGUGUGGUGGCGAGCCAGUCACCUGCAGUCAACCACGGCUCAUUGCUCUCACCAUGCCUGUUACAUGAAGUUUCAGGCAUCCACUGGGGAUCUUGGAACGCAUCCUCCAAGGAUAAGUGGGGUCUACUGUACAACACUUAAGUAUAACCCUCUUCACUAUUAACCAAAUGAUAUUAAAAUAAGCAAAGAAAAA